UUCUGAAGUGGUUUAUUUUUAAACCAGGCAACAUACCUAUUCAUAUUUAAUAUCAUAUAGAAUGUAUUAUUGUUCGUAGCAUGAACAUCUGUGUAGUGAUUUAUUUCAUUAGUCUCUCUUUCUCAAAAAAACAAUAUAAUUAUUUAAUGUGCUAAACAUCAGAAAGACUCCUUUAAAUAAGAUUGAGAUGAGUGAUUUGAUUUCAAUUCCUUUUUUCUUCCUAUGUUUUCUACACCUGUAACAACUACAACUGCUGAGCCAGUUAUAACAAAGGUGUUGCAGUUCACAUCUGUUGGAGAGAUAUUUACAGCUGACAUGCUGAACUCAUCAUCUCCAGCAUUUAUAAAUAGAGCAUCACUGAUAGUGACAACACUUGAACCUAUCUACAGGACAACAUUUUCUUCAUACUUCUCAAUGGAAGUGACUGGAUUCCGAAAUGGAUCCAUCAUCAGUAACAUUGACAUUCGGUUCGCAUCUACAUCAGUGCCAAAUGACACUGAGAUUGCAAAUGUUUUGAUCAAUGCAGCUCCAAACAUAACAGCCUUCAACAUUACCAAAGUUGUUGUCAGUGACCCAGUGGCUUCAACUACAACUGUGAGCACUACAAUGAUCACUACCCCUACAAACGCAACCACAGAAAAUCUUACAAGCACCACACCUGUAACAAAUACAACUACUGUGUCUACAACAGCUUCAACUACACCUGUGAACACUACAACACCAAUGAUUACUACCCCUACAAACGCAACCACAGAAAAUCUUACAAGCACCACACCUGUAACAAAUACAACUACUGUGUCUACAACAGCUUCAACUACACCUGUGAACACUACAACACCAAUGAUUACUACCCCUACAAACGCAACCACAGCAAAUCUUACAAACACCACACCUGUAACAAAUACAACUACAGUGUCUACAACAGCUUCAACUACACCUAUGAACACUACAACACCAAUGAUCACUACCCCUACAAACGCAACCACAGCAAAUCUUACAAACACCACACCUGUAACAAAUACAACUACAGUGUCUACAACAGCUUCAACUACACCUAUGAACACUACAACACCAAUGAUCACUACCCCUACAAACGCAACCACAGAAAAUCUUACAAACACCACACCUGUAACAAAUACAACUACAGUGUCUACAACAGCUUCAACCACACCCGUGAAUGCUACAACACCAAUGAUAACUACCCCAACAAACACAGCCACAGUUACUCCUACAACCACUACAACUGUAACAACUACAACCGUUGAGACUGUUACAACAAAACAGUUGCAGUUCAGAGAUGUUGCAACGACAUUUACACUUGACUUGCUGAACUCAACAUCUUCAGCGUUCACACAAAGAGCCACACUGAUAGUGUUAACACUUGAACCUUUCUACAAGACAACAUUUCCUUCAUUCCACUCAAUGAGCGUGACUGGAUUCAGAAAUGGAUCCAUCAUCACUGACAUUGACCUUCGGUUUGCAUCUGCAUCAGUGCCUAAUAACACUGACAUUGCAGAUGUUUUGAUCAAAGCAGCUCCGAACAUAACAGCCUUCAACAUUAGCACAGACUCUGUUAUUGUCAGUGACCCAGUGGUUUCAAGUACAACUGUGAACGCUACAACACCAAUGAUCACUACCCCUACAAACGCAACCACAGCAAAUCUUACAAACACCACACCUGUAACAAAUACAACUACUGCGUCUACAACAGCUUCAACUACACCUGUGAACGCUACAACACCAAUGAUCACUACCCCUACAAACGCAACCACAGCAAAUCUUACAAGCGCCACACCUGUAACAAAUACAACUACUGCAUCUACAACAGCUUCAACUACACCUGUGAACACUACAACACCAAUAAUCACUACUCCUACAAACGCAACCACAGCAAAUCUUACAAGCACCACACCUGUAACAAAUACAACUACUGCGUCUACAACAGCUUCAACAACAACUGUGAACGCUACAACACCAAUGAUCACUACCCCUGCAAAUGCAACCACAGCACAUCUUACAAGCACCACACCUGUAAGAAAUACAACGACUGCAUCUACAACAGCUUCAACAACAACGCACGGUUCAACUGCGGCAACAACAGCAACUGGUUCAACAACAACAGCAGCAGCAACAACAACAUCAUCAUCAACAACAACAACAACAACAGCAACAACAACAACAACAACAACAACAACAACAACAACAGCAGUGGCAGUAGUUCGCGCACCAAUUGUUGUUGUUGCAGCAGUUUUGGUUAAACAAUUUGUGGCUGAACUGGAAGAUAAAAACAGCCCACAAUUUAAGGCACUUGAGGAGCAAGUGGUACUAGUGGUGAGUAAAAUACUAAGAUGGAAUAUUGUUAAAAUUCCAGCUGAUUACAUCUACAUUUGA
rnacentral:lncRNA from 1 species